UACGUAGGGUCCGAGCGUUGUCCGGAAUUACUGGGCGUAAAGCGCGCGCAGGCGGCCCGCUAGGUGUCACGUGAAAGCCCCGGGCUCAACCCGGGAGGGUCGUGGCAAACCGGCGGGCUUGAGGCCGGUAGAGGUGGGUGGAACUCCUGGUGGAGUGGUGAAAUGCGUAGAGAUCAGGAAGAACACCCGUGGCGAAGGCGGCGCACUGGGCAGGUACUGACGCUGAGGCGCGAAGGCGUGGGGAGCGAACGGG
rnacentral:rRNA from 1 species